AUAUAACUCAAUUAAUAAAUAUUUCGCUGUGCGCUAGAAUUUGUCAUUGUAUCAUGCUGUGUAGUGAAUUAUCAUUGCUAAUUUUUGUCUAUAAGCUAUAUUAGUAAUUUAGCAGCUAAUAAACGACAGCGCAAAAGAAAGAAAGUUAUUUAAAAUAAGCCAGAAUUAGACAAGAAGUACAUUUUAAGUAGGCCGAAUAUUUAUUUAUUUAUUCAUUCAUUCAGCAACGGAUUCGCCCCAAAUGACGUCCUGUUUUGCCAAGCGUGUACGUCUGCAGACUGCAAGACGGGGCGUAACUUGAAGUGGGAGUAACUUGAAGUUGUCCAAAUCACACAGAACCACGCGAGAUCUCAAAACGAUAAGUUGUUGGCAAUAUGGCGGCUUUAAUUAGGGCACAGAGUAGAAUAUUGAUUACGUUUUAAGGGAGGCAGGGGUUUUAGGCAUGUUUUUAAUGCAUGAUGUGUGUGUAGAUAUUAAUGUUAGGGGACAAUGUGAGAGAUGUGUACGUUUUAGUAGGAAAACAUAUUAUCUGACCCACACUCCGGAACAGAAGAGGGCGGUAAUGCACUAAUAAGCUGGAUGCCAACCGCCCUUAAUUUGGAAAGAAGACGAAUAUGACAGCUUGCUGUGAAAGAUAACGUCGAGACUAAGUUUUGAAUUAAGCAGGAAUAUCUGGAGGAAUAUCAUCUGAACUUAGAUCUGCUGCUGUGAAGAUGAUGUUUGUUAAAGAGGAGAGUGAAGAGAGCAUGAGAGAACCAGAAACCUGGAGAAUAAAACAAGAGGAGCCAGAAACCUGGAGAAUAAAACAAGAGGAACCAGAAACCUGGAGAAUAAAACAAGAGGAACCAGAAACCUGGAGAAUAAAACAAGAGGAACCAGAAACCCGAAGAAUAAAACAAGAGGAACCAGAAACCUGGAGAAUAAAACAAGAGGAACCAGAAACCCGAAGAAUAAAACAAGAGGAACCAGAAACCUGGAGAAUAAAACAAGAGGAACCAGAAACACUGAUAAUAAAACAUGAGGAACCAGAAACCCGGAGAAUAAAACAAGAGGAACCAGAAACCCGGAGAAUAAAACAAGAGGAACCAGAAACCCGAAGAAUAAAACAAGAGGAACCAGAAACCCUGAGAAUAGAGCACGAGGAACAAGGAGUAAUUGGUGUGGAGAGACCGGAUAUAAGCCAAGUCACCGCAGAGAGAAGGGAAGAGAGACACGCUGGGACCUUGUACUGCACUGGGAAAGCCUCAACAGUGAAAUUAAAGUUAUUGACUGUGUUUGAGCAAUAGUUUGCUGUUUAUGCCCAGAGGGUAUCGUGAUUUGUUUGUUUGGUUAAAUAAACGAGCGUCCCAGCAACAAGCCGACCCCUGCCUUCUUCCUUCCUAUUAAGACUGUGUUGAACAUUAAGCUUUAAUCAGUAUUAACUGCAACAGUGCCAAAACAAUGGAUAGUCUGUGUAAUAUGAUAAAUUGUCUUUCAUGUUUUGCUUGAUUGAUUACAGGCACACAUAAAAAUAAUCAAUAAGCUAAUUUAACCUAUCUUAAAUAGGCUUGUAUAGUUUUUACUGUUUGAUGUAUUUAACUUUUUAUAUAUUUCAUUUGUGGGGCUUUAUUUUUAAUAGUUUGCUUUUGAUUAGACUUCCAUGCCUUGCAGCACG
rnacentral:lncRNA from 1 species